GCCUAUGUUUAGCCACGUCUGAUGAUUUGUCCCAUUGGAUUAGAACUGUAUUUAAAUGAAAGGAAAAAAGCCAUUCUUCCAAAAUUAGCUGAAAUCUGCGAGCAACUAGCCCCUCUUUUUUUUUCCCAAAAAAAAUCUGUAUUAUUGCCAAUCUCCCUUCUCUUCAUACAAUCUUCAAUUAUACGAAAAAAAAAAAAGGAAGGUUCAUUUCACAAGGUGAAAGAAGAAGAUGGGUCAUCACCACCAUCAUCAUCACCACCACCACGAAGGAGGCAGUCCAUAUGAUGAUCCAUUUUUGGCAUGUUGUUGCUGCCCUUGUUUGCUACUCUCCUCUGUUUUCUCCAUGUUUAGCAGGUGUAUCUUUAUGGCCUGCUAUCCUUUUCUGCAGUGUCUUGGAUGGGAUGAACACAGACACCAUCAUCACCACAGCCAUUUCUGUUAAUCCCAAAUUAAAGGAAUUGUUUUUUUUUUUUUUUGAGUCUUCAACUCUAGCAACAUAAAUGUGUGAAUUUGUGUUCAAUUUCAGAGGAUUGUUUCAGUUUGGUUGUUGUGUAUACUUUUUCUUGUACCUGCUAGUUUACUUUUGAAUUAUUGUUUGUUCACUCCGAGUCCAAAGGGGUUGAAGAAAAAUAGAAUCUUUUCAACAAUUUGCUGUCUUAA